rnacentral:lncRNA from 1 species
CACCUGCAACACAUGGACGUUCCCAGGCUAGGGGUUGAAUUGAAGCUGUAGCCACUGGCCUACACCACAGCCACAAAGACAUCAGAUCCGAGCCGCAUCUGCGACCUAUGCUGCAGCUUGGGGCAACGCCAGAUCCUUAACCCACUGAGAGAGGCCAGGGAUCGAACCUGUAUCCUCACAGACACUAUUUGGGUUCUUAACCCACUGAGCCACAAUGGGAACUCCCGGAUUUUUUUUAAAGCCCACAAUAUUGUUGAAUUAUAGUCAGGGAUAAAAACUACCACUUUAGUAUGUCACUCAUUCAUUCACUCAACAUACCUUUAUUGAGCUUGUGCUUUUAUGUGCCAGACACUGUGUUUGGUACACGGGAGACAGCAGUGAUCCAGAGUCAUUACUCUCAUGGAGCUUAGAUAGCAGUUGGGGAGCAGGUGUAGAGGACAGAAAGUGAUAAGUUCCAGGGUAGAACUAGAGCAGGAUGACCAUAAGUCUUCCAAGGGCCUUUAUCUCAACUUGAGCCCCCUCUUCCUCCCCUUCUAGAAUUUUUUUUGCCCUCCACUGAAAGGCAGGUGGAGGAGAGAGAGAAAAAGGAGGUAGAGUUUGUCAAGCAAUCGGAUUACUCCCAGAGUCCAAAUUCAGGUUGAGUUUGAAGCUCAAGCCCAAAGUCAUGCCCAGGUGAGGUUCAUUUCUCUUCAUUAGCACAGACGGUUGGGUUCUUCAUAAUGGAUUAGAAGCAAUUCUGAGAAAUGGCAAUUUGCUUGUCACUCUGAAAUCGAGGUCUGAUUCCUUCUUUCUCUCCUGCAAUCCAGUAAGACCUAUACUAAAGCACUGCAGGGGCUCCUGUAUGCUCAGCUGACAGCUGACAACUGGGGGUAACACCAGCACCUCUCAAAGAGAAAAGCUGUGGGUCCCCUUGCCCCUGACCUUCACAAUAUUCAGUUCAGUUCAACAAAAUGCCAUUAUUGAUAUGUUCCAGACACUAUGGCUGGUACCAUUUUUAUCCCAUUUAAAACGAGGAGGGAAGUUCCUGUCGUGGCUCAGUGGAAGCUAAUCUGACUAGUAUCUAUGAGGACGCAAGUUCGAUCCCUGGCAUUGUUUAGUGGGUUAAGGAUCCAGCAUCGCUGUGAGCUGUGGUGUAGGCCACAGACAUGGCUGAAAUCGGGUGUUGCUGUGGCUGUGGCGUAGGCCAGCGACUAUAGCUCCAACUCAACCCCUAGCCUGAGAACCUCCAUAUGCCACCAGAGUGGCCCUAAAAAGACCAAAAUAAGUAAAUAAAUAAAUAAAUAAAUAAAUAAAUAAAUAAAAGGAGGAAAUUCAGGCUCAGAGAGGUUAAGUAAUUUACCCAAGUCACCCAGAAUUCAGAUCUAUGUUUGCUUGGUAUGUGCCUCAAAGGUUUGCCACAAAGUUUGGAUGAGAUAAUCCAUGCACUGCGUUUAUGGAAACAUCUGGUAAAUGGUUCAAUUGUAUUUCAUUCUAUGAAAGCUGCCUUCUUGUCCUUGCUAUUGUCAUCAAUCAGUUAGACUCUCAAAGAUCUGGCAGCUACAGGCUCACAGCCACCUUCUCUUGGGACCAAACUAAUGAGAAGGAAUGAGGUGGGGAAGCGUGAAAUCACACAGAGGGGCUGGAGUAGCCUGCUCGCUGCAAGCUGGGCGUUGGGGAAGCCCCAUCUGGUACCCCGGGCCACCCGUGAGAAGUUCCUGACUCAGCCUGCAUUGUUGGUGCCUUCACACCUGCCUCACUUGCUCCUCCUUUUGACCGUGAACCACUGGAAGACUCACAUGUAAUUUGUGUUCCCAGUGCCUCACAUAGGGUUUAGCACAUUGUAGGGGCCAAAUACUGAAAGAAUGAAGAAUUGGUUGAAUGAGUUGCUUGCUCUGUCAGGAUUCCUCUUCUCCCAGGGUGGACCCAGUUCACCCUUCCUUCUGCGUUUUUCCCUGCAGAUGCUGUACUGGGCCCUUUAGGUGUGUUUUCACCCUUAAUGCUCACACCAGUCACUGAGGUCAGAGGUAUUCGCUCCUCUUAACACUUGUGGACAGUGAGGCUUAGCGGAUUUAAGUAGUGGUCACACAGCUUGGACGCAGCUAGGGUAGUUCUAGCAGUUCCCAUACUGCCCUCGUCUUCUUUCUCCCCAAGCCCACCCUAAGAUUUCAUCAAGCCUUCCACCCAAACCCAUGCCUUGUCUUUGCCACUGUUGGAGUUGCUGGUUUGGAGCGGUUUCUUUGAUAGCUGCUGUUUGGGAUCUUAAUUCCUAAUAAUAAGCCAAUUCAGAUCUGGCUAUGUAAACACGAUUUUGCAUGUCCCCAGGACUGCUCAUGUGCUGUCAACUAUCAUGUUAACUCUAUUUCUCACACUUUAAUGUGCAGACCAAUCACUGGGGAUAGUGUUGAAAAAUAGAUUCUGAUGUGCUGGUCUGGAGUGGCAUCCCAGAUUCUGCAUUUCCAAAUAAGCCGCCGGUGAUGCUGAAACUGCUAAUCUUCCUGCCACACUGAGUCAUGGCAAGUUAAGCUCUGACUCAGGAACAGGUUUGUUCUGUUCCUUGUUAUGAGUUGAAUUGUGUCCUCUAAAAAAAAAAAAAAAAAAGUCCUAACCUCCAGGUCCUCAGAAUGUGACCUUAUUUGGAAACAG